UAGUUAGUUGGUAGGGUAAGAGCCUACCAAGGCGAUGAUGGAUAGCCGGUUUGAGAGGAUGACCGGUCACAUUGGGACUGAGAUACGGCCCAGACUCCUACGGGAGGCAGCAGCUAAGAAUCUUCCGCAAUGGGCGAGAGCCUGACGGAGCGACGCCGCGUGGACGAAGAAGGCGUUUUGCGUUGUAAAUGUCCUUUUUAUAUGGAAAAAUGCUAUAUAAUAGAUAUAGUUGAUGGUACAUAUGAACGAGCCCCGGCUAAUUACGUGCCAGCAGCCGCGGUAAGACGUAAGGGGCGAGCGUUGUUCGGAAUUAUUGGGCAUAAAGGGCGAGUAGGCGGUCUAGUAAGUUAUAGGUGGAAAAUAUGGGCUCAACCUGUAUCUUGCCUAUAAAACUGCUGGACUAGAGUAUGAGAUAGGAUGUCGGAAUUCCUGGUGUAGGGGUGGAAUCUAUAGAUAUCAGGAGGAACACCGAUGGCGAAGGCAGGCAUCUGGCUUGUUACUGACGCUGAGGAGCGAAAGCGUGGAUAGCGAACAGGAUUAGAUACCCUGGUAGUCCACGCAGUAAACGUUGUAUACUAGGUGUAUGGGGUAUCGAUCCCCUGUGUGCCGUAGCAAAUGCAUUAAGUAUACCGCCUGGGGAGUAUGCCGGCAACGGUGAAACUCAAAGGAAUUGACGGGGGCCCGCACAAGCGUUGGAGCAUGUGGUUUAAUUCGAUGAUACGCGAAGAAUCUUACCUGGGUUUGACAUGCAGACUACGGGAUAAGAGAUUAUCCUUCCCGCGAGGGUGUUUGCACAGGUGCUGCAUGGCUGUCGUCAGCUCGUGUCGUGAGAUGUUGGUUUAAGUCCCGCAACGAGCGCAACCCUCAUAUCUAGUUGCCAACAGGUAAAGCUGGGGACUCUAGAUAAACUGCUGAGCGUAAGCCGGAGGAAGGUGGGGAUGACGUCAAGUCCUCAUGGCCUUUAUAUCCAGGGCUACACACGUGCUACAAUGGUAGGUACAAAGAGAAGCGAAUACGAGAGUUGGAGCCAAUCUCAGAAAGCCUAUCUAAGUUCGGAUUGGAGUCUGAAACUCGACUUCAUGAAGUUGGAAUCGCUAGUAAUCGCAGAUCAGCACG
rnacentral:rRNA from 1 species